GUCAGUUGGCAGAGGAAGAGGCAGAGGUAGAGGCACUGCUUCAGGCAGUCAGGGCACAAUUGGUCAGUCAGGACAAGGAAGUGCUUCAACCAGAAUCUACGCAAUGAGACAGCGUGAAGAGGCUGAGACUUCUGAUGUGGUAGCUGAUACAGAGACUAGAGGAGCAGCAGACUGAGCUACUGAGAAUUGAGGAUCAUUCUUCUUUGAAGUCUUCGGGUAUAAUUUAUACCCUAACUGUAAAUACUUCUUUUGAUGUAUAUAUUGCACAUAAAUGUAUGGACAUGUAAAAAUGGGUCUUGAGCAGCUUGUACACAAAUUUGUAUGAAGUUUGUAAUAAAGUUUAGUUUAUGUUUC